UACGAAGGGGGCUAGCGUUGUUCGGAAUUACUGGGCGUAAAGGGCGCGUAGGCGGUCCUGAUCGUCGGAUGUGAAAGCCCUGGGCUCAACCUGGGAACUGCAGUGGAUACUGGCGGACUAGAGUGUGAUAGAGGAUGGUGGAAUUCCCGGUGUAGCGGUGAAAUGCGUAGAGAUCGGGAGGAACACCAGUGGCGAAGGCGGCCAUCUGGAUCAACACUGACGCUGAGGCACGAAAGCGUGGGGAGCAAACAGG
rnacentral:rRNA from 1 species